UACGGGGGGAGCAAGCGUUGUUCGGAUUUACUGGGCGUAAAGGGCGCGUAGGCGGCGUGACAAGUCACUUGUGAAAUCUCCGGGCUUAACCCGGAGCGGUCAAGUGAUACUGUCGUGCUAGAGUGCGGAAGGGGCAACUGGAAUUCUCGGUGUAGCGGUGAAAUGCGUAGAUAUCGAGAGGAACACCUGCGGCGAAGGCGGGUUGCUGGGCUGAUACUGACGCUGAGGCGCGAAAGCUAGGGGAGCGAACGGG
rnacentral:rRNA from 1 species